rnacentral:rRNA from 1 species
UAAGGUGGUUAUAGCGAUGGGGCUCACCUCUUACCAUUCCGAACAGAGAAGUUAAGCCCGUUAGCGCCGAUGGUACUGCAUCCGUGGGAGAGUAGGUCGUCGCCUUUU